GUGGGGAAUAUUGGACAAUGGGCGAAAGCCUGAUCCAGCCAUGCCGCGUGUGUGAAGAAGGUCUUCGGAUUGUAAAGCACUUUAAGUUGGGAGGAAGGGCAGUAAGUUAAUACCUUGCUGUUUUGACGUUACCGACAGAAUAAGCACCGGCUAACUUCGUGCCAGCAGCCGCGGUAAUACGAAGGGUGCAAGCGUUAAUCGGAAUUACUGGGCGUAAAGCGCGCGUAGGUGGGUUUGUAAGUUGGAGGUGAAAUCCACGGGCUCAACCAGGGAACUGCCUCCAAAAAUGCAUGACUAGAGUACGGUAGAGGGUAGUGGAAUUUCCUGUGUAGCGGUGAAAUGCGUAGAUAUAGGAAGGAACACCAGUGGCGAAGGCGACUACCUGGACUGAUACUGACACUGAGGUGCGAAAGCGUGGGGAGCAAACAGGAUUAGAAACCCCAGUAGUCC
rnacentral:rRNA from 1 species